GGAAAAUGGUUUAAUGAUGUUUACAACAAAAGAACUGUACAAUUACAGUAAAAGAUUAUCUUUAUAUAUAUAUAAAAACAAAAAACAAAAAUACAGCAGACAAAUGCAUCAAAUCUACUAUGUAUCCUGAUUCACAUACUUUAAAUUUUCUACACAAUCGUUCAGUUCUAUAUGCGGUUGGUAUCCGGAUCUGAGGUCGCAACAUUGAGUAGAGUUCUAGUCCAUAGUGAGUUCACAAUGACAUUCUCUCCCGUAGUUCUAGUGGCACGACUCAGAUUCCGAUGAAAACUACAGAGGCUGAGAGGAUAAAUAGGACACAUUCCUUUAGCUUAGCCCAAUCUCGGUUUACAGAGGGAGAAUUAAAUUAUCUUACAGAAUGUAUUCCUUAAAAAUCCACAAACAGAAGUAAUAUGUACAGGUAUACCUUUUUUUAUUGUAAUUUUUUUCUGCUUGUUUUUCUUAAACAACGGUCACUCACUUGGGUCGUGUUAACUGAUAUCAUCACACAUUUUUUGACACACCCAAAACAUACAAAAAUACUAUAUCUUUAACCUACCAAGAGUUAGACAGUUCUGCAAUUAGUUCCAUGCUGUGACAGAAAAAGAGCGAUACACCAAACAAUCGAGAUGUUUUAAACAGACUUUUUUCAUUUAGGUUUCUCAGAAAUAUACCAAAAUAUACAUCUAAGCUUUGGAUUACUUAGGCUAGGACUAAAGCCAGUGCUGGGUUUGUCUUCAUACACAAGCUGCAGGGUGAGAGGAAGAGAGAGAGUAACAGGACAGAGAGUUAUCUUUGGUAUCUGCGUUUGUCAAACGUUAAAUAUUUGGAUAUUUUUGCUUUGGGAUAGCGCUUGUGAGAUCCAACAACUCCCCACUUGGAAUAAAGCAUCAAGCAAAUAUGUUUCCCUGGGAUCCCAUUGGCCAAAUGGCUUAGCCAAUCAGACACAGGCCAUGCAGAGUGAAGGACCAUGAUGCAUAGUGUCACUGCAGAACAGAGAAUCGAAACAUAGAGAAGGAAAAACGCGGGAGGGGACGUGUAUCCUAGAGACAACGUAUCCCGGCAAAUGGCUGCACGGCCAUGGAGCCAGAUGGAUCCAGUGUAGCCGGGUACGUCCACAACAGUAGUGGAGAUGGAACAGGCGUACCGGCAACGGUCCUAAAAACAGACACAGGCUCAUCUUGUUCCCGGACUUGUCGGCCCAAAUGCUGGCUGCACAGAGGCCCAGGAACGAGGUCGGAGAAAGACGCGACCUAACACAGGAUCAACCCUCAGUGUAUAACAGCCAGCAUCACCCAGCCGCUAUGGGAUUGGAUAACUGACCUGUCCGUCAGAGAAGCCCAAUGUAGCCACUCCCACCUCAACCUGCCCCCACCCAUGGGCACUGCCACACGUGCUGGUCGUUUUUUUGUUGUCGGCGCGCCCGCGUGCGCACACAUCUCUGCCACACAGGUUAUUUGACCUCACAGGCUUUGCUUUGCAAAGCAGCUUUAAUGUUAAAAGAGGACACGCACAACUGCCCACACAUGUCAUAGGUUUGUGAGGCGGCAAAGGGUGGGAGUCCACAUACAAUCACUAGAAGUCUUUGGUUAGCGUUACCACAGGGAAGGAAGCGGCGUGAGACAGAGCACCACCAGGUGAGCAAAUGCUCACACGACAACAACAUCUACAUUCAGAAUCUACAAGUAGAAUAAAAACAAGAUUGUCAAAUCAUAGAUAACAGAACAGGCUGGGAUAAAUCAAGUGCACGCUACUAUUACAGUGGUGAAAACUCAAAGAAAUGUGAACUGUCUUUCAGCCUUUUAUUAGGAGGCAACUGGAGGUGUAGGUGUGACAGACCAAUGAGGUCACUGAGAGCUCUGGCGAUGAUGACAUUCGUGAGUGCUGGCCUGCGUCAUGUCUCCCCCUGGUGGCAUCAGCUGUCAUGACACUCAAAACAAACCUGUGGGCUUCUUUGAUAGGACCCUUGUUUUGCAAAAAACAUUACAUUACAUUUCUUUCUAAAGUAGAUUAAAGCAGGUUUUACCUAGACUUGAGUUAGAAAUGAGGUAUACAAGAGUCCCCUUAACCAAGCUGGUCACCCCAGACUAACAUCCCUCUGCCCUCUCCCCCAACCCCAAGCCUUUAUACACCCACACAGCGAAGGGUAGACACACACACAUCAGCACAGAUCCACUUCCAGAGCAUCAGACAAACCACAGAGACCCAGACCCGGGCACGCACUGAGUCUCAACUAAACAAGCGCCAUGCUUUUGAAGAACUUGGUGUAAACUCAGAGGAUCCGCAAUCACAUAGCAACAAGGAUGCCGUCACAGACGAUGGAACAGAGUCCACAGUCCCUGUUCUAUACUCUCAUUCCCUUCUGAGUGUUAACCUAAUCCUAACUGUCUCUGUAGGCUGACGACAAAUGAACCACCACGGUCCACAAUCAGCCCUCUCUUCACUCUCCCUUUCACACACACAGACACACACACACACACACACCUGCUGGAGUUUUUAGUAAAGCUUUUUCUACAAGUACUCCCACAUCUCUGAGUCACCCCUAGUCAGUCAUAGGUAGCAACAUAACCACACCAGAACAGCACAUACUCAAUACCCAGAACACACUGCAUCAUUUCAACGGAGCACAACGCUCCAGGUCAACAGAUGGAACACAAAAGUUUAGUGAGGAGGUAGUCUUCCUCGCUAGAUUUCUCUCAAACACUUUCACACAAACAAUAUGCUACAAUGCUUGUCUUCCAAAUUACAAUAAGGCAUAAAUGAUAAGUUAAUCUUUUGUCAAACUAAGAAAGCCAGUGAUCUUGCCCUCUCAUGCUAUACAAAACAAUUUAAAGGCAUAUGUAAUAAAAAUAAAAUGAUUGUUAAAAACAGCACAGCAAAUCAAGUCCACAGUAAACAAAACAAACAAGACAUAAGAAUAGGAUCAGGUGUUUCAAAGUCUGUUCCCCUAGCAACCACACAAGCAGGGACUGUCCAAUGAGAGCACCACAGCAGGCCCCUCCCCCUUAACAGACCAAUCCCACUUAUAUGAUGGGCACAAGUGUCUGCGAGUCACAACACAAAGGGGCACGGCCAAUGUUUUUUGGUCUUGGCAAAGUUUUUCAAAAUUGCUAUCAUCAAUAAAAACUAAUUUCUGUCUUUUGAGUACAAGUCUGACAAAACACUACAUUCAUUCUUGAUAACCUACUAGUUCAAAUAUAAAAUAUGAAUAUCUUACAUGUGUUGUAUAUAUAUAUAUAUUUAUAUGAA
ensembl:lncRNA